rnacentral:rRNA from 1 species
GACAGAGGGGGCAAGCGUUGCUCGGAAUUACUGGGCGUAAAGGGCGCGUAGGCGGGAUGGCAAGUCGGUCGUGAAAUCCCUCGGCUCAACCGAGGAACGUCGAUCGAUACUGCUGUUCUUGAGGAUUGCAGAGGAGACUGGAAUUUACGGUGUAGCGGUGAAAUGCGUAGAUAUCGUAAGGAAGACCAGUGGCGAAGGCGGGUCUCUGGACAGUUCCUGACGCUGAGGCACGAAGGUCAGGGGAGCAAACGGG